GCACUUGUGGUGGAAUUGGUAGACACGCUAUCUUGAGGGGGUAGUGUCCAUAGGACGUGAGGGUUCAAGUCCCUCCAAGUGCACCA
rnacentral:tRNA from 1 species